UAUCAUUGGGAUGCAAAACAAAAUCGUCGUGAUGCGAAAGCCGAAAGAAUCACACGAUUGUUUGCAUUCGAAGAACAAUGUGCCAUCACCAAAAGGACCAUCAUGGCGUUCAUACAUUGCACAUCGACUUCGAAUGAUGAACAACGGAAUUGAAACGUAUUCGGCCAAACAGUAUGCACGAUUGGGACUCGACAAACACAUUGAAUCGGUACGCGCGAUGGACAAAACGACAUGUAAAAUGGUACGAAAUGAACCAUCCAUUUUCUACAUGGGAGCCAGCGGAUCAACACCAUCUAAUUCGCCGAUUAGAAUCAAGAAAUAUGUACGCUGUCCAGGCACGCGCAAACUCAUUGCAUCGAUCAUGAAACGUGGCAAUUGCAUCAUUCGAAUGGUCGAUGAAUACAUGACAUCACAGCAUUGCCCAUUGUGUUUCAAGUGAUUUCCGCAAGAAACUCGACGUGAUCGAUACAAGAAAUGUGUGGGUUGUGUACCAAAUCCAAUUGUUGGACUACCACGAACCAUCGUAACUAAUGUGAGCAAACGAUUACUGCAAAUGCGACGAGUAAUUGAACGAAUGUGGCGCGAGAUGGGCGAUGAAAUUGCUGCAACUCUUCGAGAUGGACCGAAUGCAGCUCGUUUGAUGUCAAAGAAGCAACGCUUCUUCAAAACAUGGCUACCAAAUGUUGCAAACAUUGAAAUCGAGGGAGCUGCUGGAGCACAACCAUCGCUAACAACUGUAUGGCAUCGUGAUAUCGCAGCAGCGAAGCUGAUCCUGUACAAAGGUGAAUGCGUGGUGUUCAAGCGGACGAUUCAUCCAAAUGUACGCAGACCACCCCGCGUUGUCAACAAUCCACCUUUACCAUUGUAUCGCGGUCAGAAUCAGAAUGUCAACAAUGGACAACUGCAGCCGUAGUAGUAGCAGCGCUCAUUCAACGAAAUCAACAAUAUUCAAUCAAAUCAUAAUUUAAAAAUUAGUUAUAACAAUUAUUUGUUAGUACGCUAGGCUUGAUUAAAUUGUGGCCUUGUCCCAGUACAAGUAUUAUUGUAGACGUAUAUAUUGUGAAUAUUUGUGUUUAUUUUGUAUCAUAAAUUUUAACAAACCAAUUUUAAACAAACCCCUCAGAUUUUAACAAACCAAUUU